rnacentral:rRNA from 1 species
GAACACGGAAGUUAAGCCCUUCUGCGCUGAUGAUACUUCGGGGGCAACCCCGUGGGAAAGUAGGUCACUGCCGGGA